GUCAGAGCCCUUCAUCUCCUCGCUGCCCAGCGACCCCGUGCAGCUGGAGGUAGCAGCAGCCCCCCCAGGGCACCCGGAUUUCACCUACACCAACAUCGCCCGCCUGGUGCUGAGCGCCAUGGUCCUGUUUGUCCUGGGGCUGAUCCUGUCUGAGGCCUAUUACAGCCACCUGAGGGGAGCACCUAGGAGCCUGGAUCCGGCCGUACAGAGAAGAGCCGCUUCCCCAUGGGGGGCUGAGAUGCCAGCACAAAUUCCCUGCCCCUAAACACCCCUGCCUCAGAGAAUCCUGCCCCCCAGAGUGUUCCCAACCCAAGUGCUGCACCCCAGGAUUGAACCCUGACCUCUGGCCCCGCGGGCACCAGUCACUGUGGCACCAGCUAGAGGAGCUGCCCCAGCGCUGGGCGUAUCAGGCUCCCCACAGAGCAGCCCCUGGUGGGUGUCGGGGUCCCACUCGCUGCCCCAGCUGGGCUGGUCU